UUUACAUUCAAUGUGUGGUACAACCCAGAGC
rnacentral:piRNA from 1 species